AGUGAAUAGAUACCCGGGUAGUCCACGCCCUAAACGAUGAUCACUGGGUGUUGGGGAAGCGAUUCCUUGGUACCGUAGCUAAACGCGUGAAGUGAUCCGCCUGGGGAGUACGGUCGCAAGGUUAAAACUCAAAGGAAUUGACGGGGACCCGCACAAGCGGUGGAUGAUGUGGAUUAAUUCGAUGCAACGCGAACAACCUUACCUACCCUUGACAUGUCUGGAAGCCUCUCGAGAGGGGGUGUGCCCGAAAGGGAACCGGAACACAGGUGCUGCAUGGCUGUCGUCAGCUCGUGUCGUGAGAUGUUGGGUUAAGUCCCGCAACGAGCGCAACCCUUGUCCCUAGUUGCUACGCAAGGGCACUCUAGGGAGACUGCCGGUGACAAACCGGAGGAAGGUGGGGAUGACGUCAAGUCCUCAUGGCCCUUAUGGUAGGGCUUCACACGUCAUACAAUGGCCGGUACAGAGGGUAGCCAACCCGCGAGGGGAGCCAAUCCCUAGGAAAGCCGGUCGUAGUCCGGAUUGCAGUCUGCAACUCGACUGCAUGAAGUC
rnacentral:rRNA from 1 species